UUGUGUUUGUUUACAACUUACUGCAAAUGCUAAUGUGAUUUCUAGCAUCAUUUGUACAUCCAUUCUGACUACAGCUAUGGGUCUUUGUUUGGUAGUCUGAUCUUCAAUGCAGCAAUAGCAAGUUUAUGUUCUCUAAACUUGGAAGAAGAUGAAACAAUUUCCCUUUUCCUGUGUUGCUUUCUGUUUAGAUACUUUCCUAGUGAAUAUUUGUAUAUACAUUUUUCUGCAUUUAAUAUACAAUACCAUGGUGAACUCUCUCUCUUUUUUU
rnacentral:lncRNA from 1 species